AUGCCGUUCUGCUCCGCAGCCUGCUUCCUGCUCAGGGAGUCCAUCGGGACUGGGUGCUCCCUCCUGUCAGCCUCGCUGAUGUCCUGCUGCCCAUGGUGGCCGGAAGGGAGCCUGCGAGCUAUGGGUUGUGUGGGGCUGUGUGCUCUGGUGGUUGCCUGGGAAGAACGAGCCUCUGACUUCAGGUUAUCAUGGAUACCCAGCAAGAGACAAUCAAGUAAGAGUCUGAUUGCAGUAAAUGCGUGCGUGUGUUUCUGUAUACUUGUGGAUGUUUUGUCUGACAGCUUCGUGACCAUCUUGUUAAGGAGUGGAAAUUAUUUUGUUCUGUUGUGCAGUGCUUGUGGAGAUAGAGAUGGUGAACUGAAUGUGGCCUCCAGCAGUAUGUGGCAAUGUCUCUGGUGAGGAGUUAAAAAUGAUCCACAUUGCUGGUGGCUCAGGAAAUCCUUUAUUCUUAAAAAUUUUGUAGCUUAAAAUCCCCGUCCUAAACUCCCACUGUAUCUCCUCAGAGUAAAUGAAUGUAGAUGUUUAGUGUUCCCUUGUUUUAAUGUGGGAAUUCCAGCAUCAGGGGAGCAAGACGGCAGUGAGUUCGAGAGCCGCCUGUGCUAACUUGUUUGGUGGAGUAGGGGAUGCUGUGUCACACUGGGUUGUUCUAGUUUCUUUGAACUUCUCUCCCCUUCCUUUCAUGUCCUGCAGGGCCCCUGCCCCUUGCUCUCAUUCAGGAUAUUCUCACUCUGCAGCAGUAAAAAAUUAUUCUGUUCAGUGCAUUGCAUCUGUAAGCAUUCUCUUGUCUCCUAGCAGAAGACAGAGAAAUCCCAGUUGAUGAAUUUGUGCAAGGGAAGGAGGAGAUGCUUUGGAACAAAUGAAAUUUAAUGGAUUAUAAGAUACAACUGUCACGCAUUAAAUCUCCCUUCUUGGAAUGGAGGCGCUUUUUUUUCUUUUCAGUUUUCUAUGCCGCAAAGCAGAGCACGAACCAGUGUAACAGGAAAUUAAUAUGCACGGAAAAUCAAUAAUGCAGCACAUUCCAGUAAUGAACAAAUAAUAAAAAACUAAAAUCAAGUUCUUUAAUACUCUCAGGUACUGCUAUGUAAAGCAAGCAAUUUUCAUCAUGUCUUGAUGAGGCCUGAGCGUAUGUAGCAGUGGCUUAAAGGGAGAUAUUUUUGUAAAGGAACUGCAGCCUAGUGCAGCAUCAGCAAUUGAAGAGCUCAGCCUUUGGUGCUUGUAACGCGUGUAUGAAUUUCAGUGUAGGAGGGAGUUACUCAGAAUGCCUAUUGGGAUAUACUAAACUGUUAACCAGCACAAAUAGAUAAUAUGUGCUGGGAUGCUCUGGGAGUUGUGUUCCUACUUAUCCAGGCUAAGUAAGGAAUGCUGGCGUUGAGAGUUAGAGCCAGUCCUGGCUCCUUAAAGCAGUUCCCAUCUGCUUUCAGUUUUUCCAUUCUGGUAGCAGUGUCUGCACCGGAUUUUGUGUUUCACUGUACCCAUUUAGGAGCGGUUUGGGGUCACCUUGGAGUUUUAUUUUGGUGUCCUGCUUCAUGAGUUUCUUUAUUCUCAUCCCUUAAUAACUCUUCUGAUUAGAAAAUCCGGAGCUGCUGUUGCUGACUGCUCACUAAAGCAAAGGCAAUGGGCACGGGAGGCCUUACAGCAACCAGGGUUGAAGUGAGGGCUGUGGACUGCACAGCCCCAUGGAGCGCUGUGUGGGUGAGCACAGGGAGGGAUGUAUGUGCUGUGUGUCCAGCAUGCCUGUGUCCUUCAGAUGGCCUGUGUCUUCAGGGAAGUGUUACAGUGGACAAACAGGGUCAGUUUCACUUGUGUGUUUUCAUUUUGGCAAAUAUUUGUUAAAAAUAAAUAUCUACAUUUAUCUGUUCUAGGUGAUAUCUUGAUCUGUGGUAAACAUUUUUCCUUCCUUCGUGGCCCUGAAACGGAUUAGAUUCAGGUCUGGUUUUCGCUAAUGAGGUUCCAAGGCUUUUAGCUAAUCUGAUUGGGAGCCUCUAAGAUGAUAGCAGUAGAAGGAAGGUCUCAGGCUGGGGCUGGUGUGGGAGAGGCAGCGCUGCCUGAUGCAUUGCUUGCUUUUCUGCACUCAGAAGGGAGGAAGGAAGUGGUGUGAGAUUGUGUGCAUCCUGACCCUGUAACAAAGUCAUUAUGAGUUGUAGGAACAAUUGUGUCAGAUUUCUCCCUAUCAUCAGUUUAGGAACUGGAUUUGAGCUGGAAAGUGUAAGUCUGCAUCUUGCUCUUUGUCGAUGCACUUACUUGUAAAUACAGGUACUGUACUUUGCUAUUGCACUUAUUUAUCGUAAAUACUGUACUGUGCUUUUUACCACAGUGUUUUCCUUAGCACAGUUAGCAGAGCUGAGGUUUAUUUUCAGGGCACUUCUUUGUGUCACCACAGUAAUCCUGCUGGAAAUUCUCUAGAUAUAACUUACCCUUUCUUUCACCUUACGUAGCGUCCUCUUCUUCAUUUGUAUGUCCUUUUCCUUCCUUUCAGCUCUCUGUUCCACUAAUUGCUGGCUGCAAACCUUUCACUAUGCUGUUUUUACACCCUCUAGUGGUUAAAUCGUACCCAGAUGUUCCAGAUUAUUACAGUUUUUCUUCCCGCUAGUGGAAAUCAGUGAUUGGUUUGAGUCCUUGCUCCGGCCUUUUGGGAAUGCUUAGGUCUACAGUACGAAGUUUAUCUUGUAUCCUUUCCCAAAUAUUUAAGCGUUCUGUCAUCAUCACACAUGGGCAAGCAGCACUGAGGCAAAGCAGACGGGUUCAUGCUGAGGCUGGAUUUCUCUUAAUUCAGGUGUUGCAUGAUUGCUUUAAGACAACCCGUAGCAUGGCCGCCCUGUUUCUUGGCUGUCCUGCCAGAAUACCUUUUUUGUGAUAACAGGGCUUGAGGAGCAUGAGUGCUAAAUCUGUACCAUAAAACUUUUCAUAAAAUGAGAAGGCUUUCUGUUGCUGUAAGUGUUGCACUGCUGGGGCCGUUAAAGCUGCGUAAGGAGCUGAAAAGCUCUCUGGGACUGUCUUCCAGGGUUCAGGGUUUGUUCUGUGGAUGUCUAAUGCAUACACAGGCGUGGCAGGAUGCCCCUGCUUUUCCGAGUGCUAGGCUGAUGGCAAGAACGAAGCGUUCUGUAAAGGGAGAAUAUGGAAAGCAUUAGCAUAAUGCUGUUAACCGAGAUGAAAACCAAGUCUUUUGGUGAAGAGAGCUUAUUCUCUGGGGACUGUUCAGUUCUGUAUCCCUCUGUUGGGCCUGCCAGCAAAAUGGUGUUUCUUUUUUUGUAACAUGAGUGCCUGCCUGAAAUGCAGCGAAGCAAGACUUCUUUGCUUCAUUUCCCAAGCUGUGACAAACAGCUCUGAGAUACUAUGAGUUUGUCUCAACAUGGAAAAUGACUUGAGCAGCUGUACUGAUAUAACUUUUAUGUACAGACAAACUCAUUGACAGUACUCUGCCUCUGGAAAGCUGUUCUGUAGUAAGUAUGCCAGCUUGUUUUAUAUAUAACCAAGGCCCAUGUCUUAUUGCUUUAGUGCUUUUCAUGUGUAUUAGAUGUGGUAUCCAAAAUUUGUUUGAGUUACUACUGAAUACUGGUACUUCUGUGGCAGCAAUUGGCAGCUGUGCAGAGUAAAUAUGUUCUCCAGUAGAAAGCAAAAUGAGAGAGAACACCUUGUUCAGCUGCCAUUGAAGGGAAGAGGGGAGGAGAGAGUUUAUGCAAGCAGGAGGUAAUUGCACACGCCCAGAACUAGGUCAGGAUGUUAGAGCUGUUACACCUUUUCUGUUAUGGGAAGUGAUGCUCAGCCAUCACAACAGGUUAGGAUGUUGAUUUGAAGCCUCUUUUUAAAAGCUUGUACUUCCGUGAGUGCCAUUCUGAAAUUAAACUGGGCCGCUGGCUUGGUACUAAUGUGGUGGAAACAUCAUUACCUGUCACAAGUGACACUUCCUUCAGCAGCAUAAUUUUGGAGGCUCAUCUACCUUCUGAGUGCUUGCCAGGCCUGACCUGUUGUUCCCGUGUAUGUAGAUGAGCCUGUAACCUAGAGUAGCCUGGGUGCCCAUGGCAACUACUAGGAACAGCUUUAUCACCAUUCCUUCCACUGGAGUUCAAGCUUAAGGUGAAAUGCUGUUAAAUCCUCUCCAAUUGUCAGCCUGUUCCCCUGGGUUGCUGCUUGCUAGCUGCGUUGCUGUAGUCUGUUGAAGAAUUGCAGGCACCAGCAGGCUGCCUGGCUCCCUCUCCGUGGCCGAGAGCAGGUCUGGGUGAACAGCACAGCAGUCUGUGAGAACAGGAAGCCUUCCCUCUUCCUUUUCUUCUGUAUAUUUUCAUUGUGUGGCCCCCUAUUAGUGUGGGGAGCUCAGCAAGGAAGCCC
ensembl:lncRNA